rnacentral:rRNA from 1 species
UACGGAGGGUGCUAGCGUUGUUCGGAAUUACUGGGCGUAAAGCGCGUGUAGGCGGAUUCGGAAGUCGGGUGUGAAAGCCCUGGGCUUAACUCAGGAAGUGCGCCCGAAACCACGAGUCUUGAGGUCCGGAAGGGAUCGGGGAAUUCCCAGUGUAGAGGUGAAAUUCGUAGAUAUUGGGAGGAACACCGGCGGCGAAGGCGCCGAUCUGGACGGAUUCUGACGCUGAGACGCGAAAGCGUGGGUAGCAAACAGG